GCACUGCCGACGAGUCGCUGAUAGGACGAAACAGCUGUCCAGUGC
rnacentral:hammerhead_ribozyme from 1 species